rnacentral:rRNA from 1 species
AUUGUCCUUUGGACAAUGGUAGGAGAGCGUUCUAAGGGCGUUGAAGCAUGAUCGUAAGGACAUGUGGAGCGCUUAGAAGUGAGAAUGCCGGUGUGAGUAGCGAAAGACGGGUGAGAAUCCCGUCCACCGAUUGACUAAGGUUUCCAGAGGAAGGCUCGUCCGCUCUGGGUUAGUCGGGUCCUAAGCUGAGGCCGACAGGCGUAGGCGAUGGAUAACAGGUUGAUAUUCCUGUACCACCUAUAAUCGUUUUAAUCGAUGGGGGGACGCAGUAGGAUAGGCGAAGCGUGCGAUUGGAUUGCACGUCUAAGCAGUAAGGCUGAGUAUUAGGCAAAUCCGGUACUCGUUAAGGCUGAGCUGUGAUGGGGAGAAGACAUUGUGUCUUCGAGUCGUUGAUUUCACACUGCCGAGAAAAGCCUCUAGAUAGAAAAUAGGUGCCCGUACCGCAAACCGACACAGGUAGUCAAGAUGAGAAUUCUAAGGUGAGCGAGCGAACUCUCGUUAAGGAACUCGGCAAAAUGACCCCGUAACUUCGGGAGAAGGGGUGCUCUUUAGGGUUAACGCCCAGAAGAGCCGCAGUGAAUAGGCCCAAGCGACUGUUUAUCAAAAACACAGGUCUCUGCUAAACCGUAAGGUGAUGUAUAGGGGCUGACGCCUGCCCGGUGCUGGAAGGUUAAGAGGAGUGGUUAGCUUCUGCGAAGCUACGAAUCGAAGCCCCAGUAAACGGCGGCCGUAACUAUAACGGUCCUAAGGUAGCGAAAUUCCUUGUCGGGUAAGUUCCGACCCGCACGAAAGGCGUAACGAUUUGGGCACUGUCUCAACGAGAGACUCGGUGAAAUCAUAGUACCUGUGAAGAUGCAGGUUACCCGCGACAGGACGGAAAGACCCCGUGGAGCUUUACUGUAGCCUGAUAUUGAAAUUCGGCACAGCUUGUACAGGAUAGGUAGGAGCCUUUGAAACGUGAGCGCUAGCUUACGUGGAGGCGCUGGUGGGAUACUACCCUAGCUGUGUUGGCUUUCUAACCCGCACCACUUAUCGUGGUGGGAGACAGUGUCAGGCGGGCAGUUUGACUGGGGCGGUCGCCUCCUAGAAGGUAACGGAGGCGCUCAAAGGUUCCCUCAGAAUGGUUGGAAAUCAUUCAUAGAGUGUAAAGGCAUAAGGGAGCUUGACUGCGAGACCUACAAGUCGAGCAGGGUCGAAAGACGGACUUAGUGAUCCGGUGGUUCCGCAUGGAAGGGCCAUCGCUCAACGGAUAAAAGCUACCCCGGGGAUAACAGGCUUAUCUCCCCCAAGAGUUCACAUCGACGGGGAGGUUUGGCACCUCGAUGUCGGCUCAUCGCAUCCUGGGGCUGUAGUCGGUCCCAAGGGUUGGGCUGUUCGCCCAUUAAAGCGGUACGCGAGCUGGGUUCAGAACGUCGUGAGACAGUUCGGUCCCUAUCCGUCGUGGGCGUAGGAAAUUUGAGAGGAGCUGUCCUUAGUACGAGAGGACCGGGAUGGACAUACCUCUGGUGUACCAGUUGUCGUGCCAACGGCAUAGCUGGGUAGCUAUGUGUGGACGGGAUAAGUGCUGAAAGCAUCUAAGCAUGAAGCCCCCCUCAAGAUGAGAUUUCCCAACUUCGGUUAUAAGAUCCCUCAAAGAUGAUGAGGUUAAUAGGUUCGAGGUGGAAGCAUGGUGACAUGUGGAGCUGACGAAUACUAAUCGAUCGAAGACUUAAUCA